AUUAAUGUGACCAAGCCAGGUUUAUGCACAAUUGCAUUUGCCCCGGGGCAGAUCAUUUAAUUGUUUUGUUACGCCAUAUAUCAAGUCUGCACUGAGAAACCCAGCCUAUCUAGGCUAUCACAACCCUCACUGACCAAACAGGUCAGCACCAUACCUGUGCAGGUGAGUUUCACCAAAGUGGUACCGGGUAACCGUCUGAGGCCUGCAUCACUUCCCUCCUACCCUGCACAUCAAGCUGACUCGCUGUGAUAUAAAUGGAAUACUGGUCACACUCAACACAUUCACUAAUUGUAUGCGCAAUUGUUUCUGUGAUAAACGCAAGUUGGCAUCCAGUGAAUUGAAAGAAUAGUGCAUUUUACAAUCUAUAUUUUUACUUUUCAUUGUAGGGUUGAUGGAAUCUAAAAACAGAUAAAGAAAAAAUAACUUCAAAUUUGGCCAGUCCAAUUCUAAUACAUGUACUUGUUUUACAAAUAAUUUUAUAACCAACAAGCAUGUGAGAGAUAUUUAUGGCAUUUAAGGCUUCUUGACCAUUUUAGUAGUUUUACAUAUUUGGAUAUAUACUAAUGUUUAACAAUUUGUUUCUGAGAGAUAUUGCAUUUUUAACAUAUAUAGCCAGUUUUAUUAUGACAGCAUCAUCUUUUUCCUUAUAGAAAGCAUAUCCUUGAAUCAACUGGACUUAAUCGAAAUAAUUAUGGACUCGUUCUUUCAGAAGGAAUUACCAAACAGAUGUAUCUCCUGAUACAGAGAUCCGAAGCAGAUAACAACCCAAAUUGGAUGUGAAAUGUUCACCUUGGUCAAUGCCUAAAUCCAGAUGGGUUCAGCUGAUGGCUACUUUUAAAUGGACAGUAAUUAGCAUGGUGGUUGUUAAUUACAGGUGUGUCAGUGACCACAAGCCAGCUUCCUGCUGUUGCCUUGUGUCCAGUUUCAGUGACCCAGGUCACUGAUUACAUUCACAAUCCAGUGGGGAUAGUGGAUAUCCAAAUCUUUCAAGGUCAAGUUCUGCCUACCAAGAUGGACAACAGGCUGUGUGGUGAUAAAUAUACAUAACAGUACUUGUAGUAUAAAUAGGUUAAGGUCAUGAACUAUGUGGAACAAUGUGGACGUGUGAUUGACAGCUAUUGAACAUGGUUGGAUAUGAGGAACAGCUGGAUGUCAAUCAAUAUGAAAUAUAUUUCAGUUAUCCAACUGAAGAAAUAUGUACUUUCCUUUUAUGAAUAUUUGAUUUCGAGUUUCAAGAGACAAGAAGUCCUUUUGUGUUGGUGUUUUAGCAUUAUAAACUCUUGA